GACGAACGCUGGCGGCGUGCCUAAUACAUGCAAGUCGAACGCUUCUUUCCUCCCGAGUGCUUGCACUCAAUUGGAAAGAGGAGUGGCGGACGGGUGAGUAACACGUGGGUAACCUACCCAUCAGAGGGGGAUAACACUUGGAAACAGGUGCUAAUACCGCAUAACAGUUUAUGCCGCAUGGCAUAAGAGUGAAAGGCGCUUUCGGGUGUCGCUGAUGGAUGGACCCGCGGUGCAUUAGCUAGUUGGUGAGGUAACGGCUCACCAAGGCCACGAUGCAUAGCCGACCUGAGAGGGUGAUCGGCCACACUGGGACUGAGACACGGCCCAGACUCCUACGGGAGGCAGCAGUAGGGAAUCUUCGGCAAUGGACGAAAGUCUGACCGAGCAACGCCGCGUGAGUGAAGAAGGUUUUCGGAUCGUAAAACUCUGUUGUUAGAGAAGAACAAGGACGUUAGUAA
rnacentral:rRNA from 1 species